AAGUCGAACGAGAAGAUAGUGCUUGCACUAUCGGACAGUUGCGAACGGGUGAGUAACACGUAGAUGAUCUGCCUAUUGGUUGGGGACAGCAUAGGGAAACCUAUAGUAAUACCGAAUAAGCUCUUACUGUUUUGACAGUUUGAGGAAAGAUGCUUCGGCAUCGCCGAUAGAUGAGUCUGCGCCUGAUUAGUUAGUUGGUGGGGUAAAGGCCUACCAAGACCGCGAUCAGUAGCCGGCCUGAGAGGGUGACCGGCCACAUUGGGACUGAGAUACGGCCCAAACUCCUACGGGAGGCAGCAGCUAAGAAUCUUCCGCAAUGGGCGAAAGCCUGACGGAGCGACGCCGCGUGGACGAAGAAGGCCGAGAGGUUGUCAAGUCCUUUUAUGAGAGAAGAAUAAAGUGCAGAGGUAAUGCUGCAAAGAUGACGGUAUCUCAUGAAUAAGCUCCGGCCAAUUACGUGCCAGCAGCCGCGGUAACACGUAAGGAGCGAGCGUUGUUCGGAAUUAUUGGGCGUAAAGGGUUCGUAGGCUGUUUGUUAAGUCUGACGUAAAAGAUCACGGCUCAACCGUGGGAAUGCGUUGGAAACUGCCAGACUGGAAUCGGAGAGGGGAAGUUGGAAUUUAUGGUGUAGGGGUGAAAUCUGCUGAUAUCAUAAAGAACACCGGAGGCGAAGGCGAACUUCUGGCUCACGAUUGACGCUAAUGAACGAAAGCAUAGGGAGCGAACAGGAUUAGAUACCCUGGUAGUCUAUGCCGUAAACGAUGUACACUUGAUGGUUGUGCCGCUGGGUAUGGCUGUCGAAGCUAACGCGUUAAGUGUACCGCCUGGGGAGUAUGCCGGCAACGGUGAAACUCAAAGGAAUUGACGGGGGCCCGCACAAGCGGUGGAGCAUGUGGUUUAAUUCGAUAUACGCGAGGAACCUUACCAGGGUUUGACAUAUUUAGGACCGUACUAGAGAUAGUAUUUUCCCUUCGGGGACCUUUUUACAGGUGCUGCAUGGUUGUCGUCAGCUCGUGCCGUGAGGUGUUGGGUUAAGUCCCGCAACGAGCGCAACCCCUGUUGUCUGUUGCCAGCAUUAAGUUGGGGACUCAGGCAAGACUGCCGGUGACAAACCGGAGGAAGGUGGGGACGACGUCAAAUCAUCAUGGCCUUUACAUCCUGGGCUACACACGUGCUACAAUGGCCGGUACAGAGUGAUGCGAAGCCGCGAGGUGGAGCCAAACGCAGAAAGCCGGUCUCAGUUCGGAUUGGAGUCUGAAACUCGACUCCAUGAAGGUGGAAUCGCUAGUAAUCGCGCAUCAGCAUGGCGCGGUGAAUACGUUCCCGGGCCUUGUACACACCGCCCGUCACACCACUCGAGUUGGGGGUACCCGAAGUCGUUAGUCUAACCGCAAGGAGGGCGGCGCCGAAGGUACGUUUAGCGAGAGGGGUGAAGUCGUAACAAGGUA
rnacentral:rRNA from 1 species